rnacentral:rRNA from 1 species
CAGUCGCCGCGGUAAUACAGAGGAUGCAAGCGUUAUCCGGAAUGAUUGGGCGUAAAGCGUCUGUAGGUGGCUUUUCAAGUCCGCCGUCAAAUCCCAGGGCUCAACCCUGGACAGGCGGUGGAAACUACCAAGCUGGAGUACGGUAGGGGCAGAGGGAAUUUCCGAUGGAGCGGUGAAAUGCGUUGAGAUCGGAAAGAACACCAGUGGCGAAGGCGACUCUCUGGUCUGUAACUGACGCUGAGGAGCGAAAGCGUGGGGAGCGAACAGGAUUAGAUACCCCCGUAGUCCCUGUCUCUUAUAC